rnacentral:snRNA from 1 species
GCCAAGUUGAUGUUUAAAAUG